rnacentral:rRNA from 1 species
AGUUUGAUCCUGGCUCAGAUUGAACGCUGGCGGCAUGCCUUACACAUGCAAGUCGAACGGUAACGCGGGGGCAACCCUGGCGACGAGUGGCGAACGGGUGAGUAACGCAUCGGAACGUGUCCUUUUGUGGGGGAUAACCUGGCGAAAGUCAGGCUAAUACCGCAUGAGACCUGAGGGUGAAAGCGGGGGAUCGCAAGACCUCGCGCGAGAGGAGCGGCCGAUGUCCGAUUAGCUAGUAGGUGGGGUAAAGGCCCACCUAGGCGACGAUCGGUAGCGGGUCUGAGAGGACGGCCCGCCACACUGGGACUGAGACACGGCCCAGACUCCUACGGGAGGCAGCAGUGGGGAAUUUUGGACAAUGGGGGCAACCCUGAUCCAGCCAUGCCGCGUGUGUGAAGAAGGCCUUCGGGUUGUAAAGCACUUUCGGCGGGAACGAAAUCGCUCUGGCUAACACCUGGGGCGGAUGACGGUACUCGCAGAAGAAGCACCGGCUAACUACGUGCCAGCAGCCGCGGUAAUACGUAGGGUGCGAGCGUUAAUCGGAAUUACUGGGCGUAAAGCGUGCGCAGGCGGCUUUUUAAGCCAGAUGUGAAAGCCCCGGGCUCAACCUGGGAACUGCAUUUGGGACUGGAAGGCUAGAGUGCGGAAGAGGGGGGUGGAAUUCCACGUGUAGCAGUGAAAUGCGUAGAGAUGUGGAGGAACACCGAUGGCGAAGGCAGCCCCCUGGGUCGACACUGACGCUCAUGCACGAAAGCGUGGGGGAGCAAACAGGAUUAGAUACCCUGGUAGUCCACGCCCUAAACGAUGUCAACUGGUUGUUGGGGAAGGAGACUUCCCUUAGUAACGUAGCUAACGCGAGAAGUUGACCGCCUGGGGAGU